rnacentral:rRNA from 1 species
UGCCAGCCGCCGCGGUAAUACGGAGGGGGUUAGCGUUGUUCGGAAUUACUGGGCGUAAAGCGCGCGUAGGCGGGUCGUUAAGUUAGAGGUGAAAUCCCGGAGCUCAACUCCGGAACUGCCUUUAAUACUGGCGACCUAGAGACCGGUAGAGGUGAGUAGAAUUCCUAGUGUAGAGGUGAAAUUCGUAGAUAUUAGGAAGAAUACCAGUGGCGAAGGCGGCUCACUGGACCGGAACUGACGCUGAGGUGCGAAAGCGUGGGGAGCGAACAGGAUUAGAUA